UUUAAAGAUGUACUAUACAGAGAUACUAUCUAGGUUGUCGGCAAACAUUUAGAACUGUUUUGCAACCUUGCACACUGACAAACUAGCAUACCACAUGGCUGAGAUAAUACUAUAAAGGCUAUCGCUAAGAGUAAGUUCUCAAUUGAGAGCUUUUUAUUGCUAGCUGAGAAUAUGUAGAUGCACUAUGCAAACUUGUUCAUAUUAAUAUUCCAAGCAGUUUUCCGCUUGCAUAAUUGGCAUACAUGGAUGGGUUCCACCAUCGCCUAUAUAUGUCAUCAUGCAAUCCUAUUGGUUCAUAUACUCAGUGGUGGAUCCAGAAAGUUUUUUUUAGGGGGGGGGGGGGUGCUGGGCGAUCAGCCAAGCACAACGAAACCAGUGCUGGUCAGCAGCGUACUGUCAUGAAAAUGCAUCUACCGUCGAUUGCAACUAAGGCCAAAAAAAAUAUGUGGGUUUCCGGUUUCCCGACCCUACCUAACUUUUGGACGUCGAAAUCCCGACCCUAAACUUUUUUAUUGGAUCAUGCUUGUAAGUGUUUCCACUUAGAGGAAAAAGUUUGUGGAAAAUUGAAAUUUGAGGCAAUAUUAGGGAAAUUUAUCUUUGGAUGUGGAAGCACUGACUAAACAAAAUGGCGUCCGCUUAUUCGGAAAAUUAAAAAAAAAAAGUUUAAAAAAAAGUUAAAACCGACCUACCCUACCUAAGUUUUUAUAAGAAGAAACCGGAAACCCACAUUUUUUUUUUGGUCUAAGCACUGAGAAACGUGUCAUGAGAAAGCGCGAUCCAAUUGGCUGUCAAACAGGAUUUGUUUGGACUUCAAACAUCACAUGAUUAUACUGCAAACAUUUACGUUUCCACUGUCAAUAUUCCAAAUUUAGAAACACAUUCAUAUUGGGCGGGGAUUAGCUUGCAAACACUAAAUCCGUGAUUAAGUUCGUCUGAAUUAAAUUCGGCGUAUGAAACAAGCCUUAGUGAAGUUCUAACAUACUGUAAAUUUGUGAAUUUUGCGUUUAUAGUGGACAAAUUCAGUAUUGUUUGCAAUGUUUGUAUUAACUUUGUUACGUUUUCGCGGAAAAAAUAAUUGUAAAACGUCAAAUGUUUCCAGCAAAAUCAUGUAAAGUUUUUGAAGUCCAAACAUGUUAUGUUUCAUGUCCAAUUAGAUCGCGUUUUCUCAUGACGUGUUUUCGCUUAGUUGCAAUCGACGGUAGUAGUUUCUCCGUUACAAUUUACAGAUACGUUGAAUAAAUAUAAUUUAAUAAUUACAUAAAAUUUAAAUCCCAGAUUCUCUUGAUACUGUGAUUGUGUGAAAGAGAAAAUGGAUUUUUUUCACAUUUC